rnacentral:rRNA from 1 species
UUGCCCUAGUAACGGCGAGUGAAGCGGCAACAGCUCAAAUUUGAAAUCUGGCCUCGGCCCGAGUUGUAAUUUGCAGAGGAUGCUUCUGGCGCGGUGCCUUCCGAGUUCCCUGGAACGGGACGCCACAGAGGGUGAGAGCCCCGUAUGGUCGGACACCAAGCCUGUGUGAAGCUCCUUCGACGAGUCGAGUAGUUUGGGAAUGCUGCUCUAAAUGGGAGGUAAAUCUCUUCUAAAGCUAAAUACCGGCCAGAGACCGAUAGCGCACAAGUAGAGUGAUCGAAAGAUGAAAAGCACCUUGAAAAGGGGGUUAAAUAGUACGUGAAAUUGUUGAAAGGGAAGCACUUAUGACCAGACUUGGGCCGGGCGGCUCAUCAGGGGUUCUCCCCUGUGCACUCCGCCCGGCACAGGCCAGCAUCGGUUCUCGUGGGGGGAUAAGACCGUCAGGAACGUAGCACCCUCCGGGGUGUGUUAUAGCCUGGCGGACGAUACCCCCGUGGGGACCGAGGUCCGCGCUCCGCAAGGAUGCUGGCGUAAUGGUCAUCAGUGACCCG